GCAUUGGUAGUUCAAUGAUAGAAUGCUCGCUUUCCAUGUAGUAGACCAGGUUCUAUUCCCGGCCAAUGCA
rnacentral:tRNA from 1 species